rnacentral:rRNA from 1 species
UACGAAGGGGGCUAGCGUUGUUCGGAAUUACUGGGCGUAAAGGGCGCGUAGGCGGCGUGUCAAGUCAGGCGUGAAAUCCCCAGGCUCAACCUGGGAACUGCGUCUGAUACUGGAUGGCUUGAAUUCGGGAGAGGGAUGCAGAAUUCCAGGUGUAGCGGUGAAAUGCGUAGAUAUCUGGAGGAACACCGAUGGCGAAGGCAGCUGCCUGGCCUAGAACUGACGCUGAGGUGCGAAAGCGUGGGGAGCGAACAGG